rnacentral:misc_RNA from 1 species
GUUUUAGAAUUUGUGAUAAUGUUAAGUACAUGAAAGUUCGUGUGUUAGUGAUGUUCAUGAUAAUGUUAAGUGCUAUGAAAAUUCUAUGUUCAAUGAUUUACUAUUGAAUUGUUUAAGCAAUGUUGUAGUCUAGUUGUCUGUAUUACUUUAUUAUUUUACUUAAAAUUCAUAUUCUGUCUUUUUCGUAACGAUAUAAAUGCAUCAUUAGUUAAAUAAAUAAAACAAAUAAAUUGUGAAAAGGAAUACUCUUUAUUUUAUUGUCACUGUCAUUGUCACAAUAUACGAGAAAAAUGUGGUGACGUGUAUUUCACUUAUACUUAUCUUGCUGUUAUCAAAAUUAUAAACAAGAAAACGUUUUCAUUUAAAUUAUAAAUUGACGACAAAAUAAAAGUUUCUAAGAUAAAAUUUCAUUUUCACGAUGAGAAAACUCAAGGGUACAGUUAAGGAAACCGCUAAGCAGAGGCGUGAAAGGAAGCAAGAAUUCGCUAAAAUGCGCCAACAAAUACACACAAUAGUCUUGCCAACUGUAGCAGUUAUAUUUCUGUUAAUAUGUGUUUAUGUAUACUUUAAAACGCGACCAUCUGCCAUUAAAUCGGCGUAACGAACUGCAAACAUUCUAAAAAUGUUGUAUAUAGUAAAUUAUUGGUAUCCAAAUUAUGACUUACUUGAAAUAUUUUCUAUAAAAUUUAUAUUUAAAAAAUAUGGUUGUGAAUUAUAUGGUGACUUGUAGAAAAAUAAUAAUACAAUAAACUAAAUCAAAUUUUAUAGAUUAUUCUGCUGUUAAACAUUCCACUAAAGAAACAUAUCAUUGUAAAUAUUAGAGUACAUUUGAUCCCAAAAGUAAGUUAUUUACUAACGGAUUAUUUUAUUCAGCGUCUGUAUUAAGAAAAACUAACAAUUGUUGACGCCAGUAUUCUGUAAGAGAGCAUCAGAUAAUAAAAUAAAAUAUUUUCUUAUUAUUUAUUUAUAUAUUUAAUAAAUAUCUAUAAAUAAAUAUACUUAAUACGCAGGUUGAUAAAUAUGUCAUUUUAUGUCGUAUUAAAAUAUUUAAUUACAAAAAGCAUUUUCAUUAUUUUGUACAUCCUUUUUAACUAUGCAGAUUUAAUAAUAACAGUACAUCCUACAAAUUAUAGGAAUAAUACACCUAUUGUUUUCUAUAAAAUAUAUCAUAAUUUUUUGAAAACUCAAUAAUCACGGUAUUAUUGCUUAUAGUGAUCUCUUCCAUGAGAUUACAAUUGAUAUUAUAUGCUAAUUAAUAUUUGAAUAAUAGUAACUUGAGAAUAAUUUUAAUAAAAAUAUUGAUUUGUUAUUUUACUAUUAAGGAUUAUUCCAACACCUAGUCCUGUAGAAGUUGAUAGUUUUGUACUUUUCACAUUUUUCAUUUAAACUGUUUCUUUUGACUGUUGUUUUAUAAAUAAUAAAAUGUUAUUUACCAUAUGAUUUAAAUUAAUUAAUAUUUGUUACUAGAUAUUUAUUAUUACAACAUGGAAUGGAUUAUUAAAACAUGUAAUGGAAAAUGGAAAAACAAAUAUUUUUUUAAUAUUUAUGCUGAUUAUCAAUGAAAUCUGACUAUGUAAUAAUAAACUAAUAUAUAGUCAUAAAUAUUUUUAUAGUUGCAAUUAACACACCCCAGUUCUUAGCAUCUUCUAUAACAAUUUCAUUGUUAAACAACAAUAUACAUUAAAUAACUUUGAUAAACCCCUAGAAAAAAGGAGUGACAUACUGAUAAAAGAGAAAUGUGAAUAUUUGCUGUUUCAGGUUUUAUAACAGAUAGAUUAAUUUUUCAAAUACAGUCUAAUUUUUAUUGUCUUGAUAUUUGUAACAAUGACAUAUCAUGCAAGAUACCUCGAUUAUAAUUUUAUCUAUAUUGAUAUCUAUACAUAUGUAUAAUAAAACUAUAAAAAUUACAUCCAAAACGUAAUCCAAGUAUUUGUUAAUAAUAUUUUCA